GAAAAAACAAUGCUUUGGAGCCCAGAUUUUAGUAAAUUAGCGUAGAUGCCAGCUAUCAACAUCAUUAAUGCUAUAAAACAACAUACCAAACAAGAUAUUUUUACCAAAAAUAUAUUACAGUGCCACACAUGUUACAAAAAGAAGCCAGUGAGCACAGGCAUAAUUAUCAGGUUUCUUUUAACUCAAGUCAGAAUAGUUACUGAUUAUACAAUAAUAACAAUAAUAAUAAUAGGCAAACAGACAAGGCUCCUCCGCUAACCACUCUCCCCAAAAAAGCAUUAUUUCUCUGUAACCACGUGUGGUUACAAUGCAGAAACCACCAUCAAUGAAGAAAUGGAGUCAUCACUUCACCUGCCUCCCAAUAUUUGCACUCAUAAGUAACUGCAUUCAUCUGCACUCUCCAAGAUCUGAUCAAUUACCAUAUGAAGAUACCAAAACAUUAUGUUCAUUCAGAUGCCUCUGAAAUUGAGCCAGACGAGUCUGCAGUUGUAGAAUUCCUGCAGCCUUCUGUGCAAGAAUCGCAUUUAACUUGGAGAUAUAAUCAUCCAGCUGAUUGCCUGGUUGAUCAGCUUCAACUAGCAAGUUCAUCUCCUCCCUAACAAUAUCAAUUGUCUCCUCCACUUGUUUACGGUGGGCAGAUACAAGAUCUUCUUCUUCCUUCAACAGGGCAUUCAGAUGAUUAUCAUCUGAGUGAGAAUUAUUUGCCAAAAAGUGUGGGACAUCUCUCCUUUUCAUUGGAGCAUCAUUUCUGCGCUUAUCCUCCAAAGCUGAAAUUUCAUAGCUUUCUGCUUUAUUAUUGUUCAUCCAUAAUGGUUUUUCUUGUUCAAAAGCUUCCUUUGUGUAAUCAAAAUCAUCCUCAGCAAUGCCGUUUUGACCACCUGUCUGGGAUUUGUAAUAAUCUGAAUACACGGAUGCAGCUGCAUGUCCCUCUGCCCUGCCACUUGGAACACGAUCCAAAUUAACCGUCGGAGAUGUUUCCCUUUCUGUUGGUUUAGCCCAUGCAAACAUGUUCUUUCCAUUGGGAACAUCAGCUAUGUUAUCAUCAAAGGUUGCUUCAUUAGGCAAAGCUGAUGUCAAAGGCAAUGCCGUUGAGUCUCUAAGGUUUGAAGAAGACAAUGGAUCCCGUUUGGAGUUGUUCCCUUUUGAAAGACUCUUCACCCUAUCAGCAUAUCUUAGUGUAUUAAGAGUGUGUUCACAUGAUCCUGAGCUUGGUGAAAUACAUGAUAUCAUAACAGUGCGUGAGUCACCAACGAACGAAUCUCUAAGAACUUCAGUCAGCUUACUCCCUCUGAAGGGAAUGUGACCCUGGUCACUGUCAAGAGCUCUAAUGCAUUCUUUCAAAGCCAGUAAGCUCUUGUUAAUUUCAGCACCUUCCAUUCUGUAAAGAUGUAAAAGCAAUUACUUGCUCUCUUAAAUGCUAAAACAUUUUGAGACAUCAGUAUUUAAUGAUGACCAAACGUAAAAUACACAGAGAAAAGAUUAGAUCAUUUAUGAGCAUUGCAUGGGUCACAUGCAAUGUAACACAGAAGGUCUGAGGGGAGCACAAUAAGCACAGAGAGUUUCAAGGAGAGAGAGAGGGGAGGGGGAACCACCUAAUCCAAUCAAUCCCCACCUCGUUUGUUUGUCAUUAUCAGUAGUAUCUGCACCGCGCUCACUUCCAGCCAGAUCUAUGAAAGACAACUUUCCUACAAGUCGAGCAGGCUUUGAUUCAGAACCAUCAACUGAUCUCUUGAUGGCAAGCUGAAGUAUAGCAUGUGAUCGAGAGGAUUCCUCAUUCGCACCAGUUGUACCAGUGCUUCUAGUGGCAUUUCCUUUCUCAAUGAACUCCCUGAUUGCCUCAACAUCUGAUACUCUGAAUUCCUGCAAACCCACAAUGCACACUUGUUGUUUCCCAUCUUCCCUCAUACAAAGCUUUUUCCGAUCAUUGAGGAGAUCAAAAAGCUUCCCUCCAUAUAUCUCAAAGAAACUGACAAACAAUUGAAAUCCCUGGUUCCUGUACAUGUGGUGCAUUAGUCUUAAUAUAUCUUGGGAAGCUUUGAGAGGCAAUGGUUGCAUGGUAUAAGUCUUUCCACUCCCUGUUUGCCCAUAUGCAAAGCAGGUUGCUUUUGUUCUAUGGAAAAUUAGAGGAACUAUGGGCUCCACAGUCUCAGAGUACACUUCAUCAUUUGAAACACCUUCAUUCAGCACAGCAUCAAAAACAAAUUCAUGUUUCUCCACAUAUUCUGUUAGGUCAACUUUAAGUUUGGUUUCAUGAACCAUGAGAGCAUUGGAAUUUGGCUCUAUGGUAAUAAUAUCUUCCUCUUUCUUUGAUGUUUCCUUCUUAUUUAAUGGUCUCUUGCGUACCACGACUUUGAUCUUUGCAACAUUGUUGGCUCUUUCUUUGUCCCCUAAGAAACUUUUAAGAAAGUUAUUCUCAGGCAAAUUUCGGGCUUUGCUUGUCAGUUUGCUGGCUGCAAGAUAAGAUUCGAAGUCAUCAAAACUUUUACCACGAGCAGGUUGAUUAUGCAAGUAUCCCUCAUGUAGGCUGGGAACGGACACCUCAGGCAAUAGCUCAGUAUCAAAAGAAUGCAGAUCGAGCAAGCCAGGGCUGAGCUCACUCGGCGACACGUAAUCAUCGCCAAUCUUCCUCAUACUCGAUGACCGCGAACAAACCGGAGGCGUCAACGGGUCCAUUGACAGCAUGCUCCGGUUCAUCCUUGAGCCGUAUCCGAAGUCCUGCGAAGCCGAUUGAAGCCAUCUGCCAUUGUCAAGGAAAUUAUCGGAAUACUGCCGGUGGUGAUGCGCCGUCGAACUGGAUCUCGACAUUUGUCUCCCUGCCACAUUCAUCUUCAAUUCAAAAAUAUCUCCCUCUCUCUCUCUCUCUCU
rnacentral:misc_RNA from 1 species